AUUGAACGCUGGCGGCAUGCUUUACGCAUGCAAGUCGAACGGUAACAGGUUAAGCUGACGAGUGGCGAACGGGUGAGUAAUGCAUCGGAACGUGCCCGGUCGUGGGGGAUAACGCAGCGAAAGUUGCGCUAAUACCGCAUACGAUCUGAGGAUGAAAGCGGGGGACCGUAAGGCCUCGCGCGAUCGGAGCGGCCGAUGUCAGAUUAGGUAGUUGGUGGGGUAAAGGCUCACCAAGCCAACGAUCUGUAGCUGGUCUGAGAGGACGACCAGCCACACUGGGACUGAGACACGGCCCAGACUCCUACGGGAGGCAGCAGUGGGGAAUUUUGGACAAUGGGCGAAAGCCUGAUCCAACAAUGCCGCGUGCAGGAAGAAGGCCUUCGGGUUGUAAACUGCUUUUGUACGGAGCGAAAAGGUCUCCUCUAAUACAGGGGGCUCAUGACGGUACCGUAAGAAUAAGCACCGGCUAACUACGUGCCAGCCGCCGCCGUAAGAC
rnacentral:rRNA from 1 species